UACGUAGGGUGCAAGCGUUGUCCGGAAUUAUUGGGCGUAAAGAGCUCGUAGGCGGUUUGUCGCGUCUGCCGUGAAAGUCCGGGGCUCAACUCCGGAUCUGCGGUGGGUACGGGCAGACUAGAGUGAUGUAGGGGAGACUGGAAUCCUGGUGUAGCGGUGAAAUGCGCAGAUAUCAGGAGGAACACCGGUGGCGAAGGCGGUUCUCUGGGCAUGUUCUGACGCUGAGGAGCGAAAGUGUGGGGAGCGAACAGG
rnacentral:rRNA from 1 species